rnacentral:rRNA from 1 species
UACAGAGGUGGCGAGCGUUGUCCGGAUUUACUGGGUGUAAAGGGUGUGUAGGCGGCUGGUCAAGUCUGGGGUUAAAGACCACAGCUUAACUGUGGGGGGGCCUUGGAAACUGACCGGCUGGAGUGGGGCAGGGGUUGCGGGAAUUCCCGGUGUAGCGGUGAAAUGCGUAGAUAUCGGGAAGAACACCUGAGGCGAAAGCGCGCAACUGGGCCCUAACUGACGCUGAGGUACGAAAGCUAGGGGAGCGAAUGGG